rnacentral:tRNA from 2 species
AUUUUAAAAUGGCAGAUUAGUGCAAUAGAUUUAAAUUCUAUAUAUAUAAUAUUAAACAUUAUUUUUAAAA